rnacentral:rRNA from 1 species
GAUGAACGCUGGCGGCGUGCCUAAUACAUGCAAGUCGAGCGAACAGAUGAGGAGCUUGCUCCUCUGACGUUAGCGGCGGACGGGUGAGUAACACGUGGAUAACCUACCUAUAAGACUGGGAUAACUUCGGGAAACCGGAGCUAAUACCGGAUAAUAUAUUGAACCGCAUGGUUCAAUAGUGAAAGACGGCUUUUCUGUCACUUAUAGAUGGAUCCGCGCCGCAUUAGCUAGUUGGUAAGGUAACGGCUUACCAAGGCAACGAUGCGUAGCCGAACUGAGAGGGGGAUAGGCGACACGGGAACUGAGACGCGGUCCAUACGCCUACGGGAGGCAGCAGUAGGGAACCGUCGGCAAUGGGCGAAAGCAUGACGGAGCAACGCCGCGUGAGUGAUGAAGGUCUUCGGAUCGUAAAACUCUGUUAUUAGGGAAGAACAAAUGUGUAAGUAAAUAUGCACGUCUUGACGGUACCUAAUCAGAAAGCCACGGCUAACUACGUG